rnacentral:rRNA from 1 species
AGUGAACGCUGGCGGCAGGCCUAAUACAUGCAAGUCGAACGGCAGCACAGCAGAGCUUGCUCUGUGGGUGGCGAGUGGCGGACGGGUGAGGAAUACAUGGGAAUCUGCCCAGUCGUGGGGGAUAACGUAUGGAAACGUACGCUAAUACCGCAUGCGCCCUAAGGGGGAAAGCCGGGGACCGCAAGGCCUGGCGCGAUUGGAUGAGCCCAUGUUCGAUUAGCUAGUUGGCGGGGUAAAGGCCCACCAAGGCGAAGAUCUUUAGCUGGUCUAAGAGGAUGAUCAGCCACACUGGAACUGAGACACGGUCCAGACUCCUACGGGAGGCAGCAGUGGGGAAUAUUGGACAAUGGGCGAAAGCCUGAUCCAGCGACGCCGCGUGAGUGAAGAAGG